rnacentral:rRNA from 1 species
ACGCUCGACACCUACGGAGGCAGCAGUGGGGAAUAUUGCACAAUGGGGGAAACCCUGAUGCAGCGACGCCGCGUGGAGGAAGAAGGUCUUCGGAUUGUAAACUCCUGUUGUUGGGGAAAAAGAGGAUGGUACCCAACAAGGAAGUGACGGCUAACUACGUGCCAGCAGCCGACGGUAAUCUGAGGCGGGCGUGGACGAAGGC